UACAGAGGUGGCAAGCGUUGUUCGGAGUUACUGGGCGUAAAGAGUGCGUAGGCGGUGCUCUAAGUUUGGUGUGAAAUCUCCCGGCUCAACUGGGAGGGUGCGCCGAAAACUGGAGUGCUCGAGUAUGGGAGAGGUAAGCGGAAUUUCCGGUGUAGCGGUGAAAUGCGUAGAUAUACGGAAGGAACAUCAGUGGCGAAAGCGGCUUCCUGGUCCAGCACCGAACGUCAGGCACAAGCGUGGGGAGCAAACAGG
rnacentral:rRNA from 1 species